CCCCAAAGCUGCUGCUGCUCAGAGGUGACACCCCCUCUUGGUGUGGGACUCAGGGUCCAGCCUGGAGUCUGACAGCUGCAACUCCAGGAAGGGGUUGAGACAGGAGAGCCCGGCCCCAGCUUCCUCUGGGCGGGGCACCCACACCACAAGUUCUUAGGCCACCGGGGCAGUGGCCCCAGAUGCCAGCUUGCCCGAAGGGAGCCUGACGCUAGGAGGUGAGCCAAGCGGGAGGGAGCCCCAUCCUAUCCCGGCCGCGGGAGCCCAGGCGGGGGCGGCCAGGGAGGGCCGGCCGGGAGGUAGGAGCCUGAGCCCAGGGCCCCGGGGCCCCCCACACGUGCUAUUUCCAGGAGCCAUGGGAGGCAUCCAGCUUGCUCUGCUGCUCUUCCUGCUGGGCUGGGAGCGAGGUGAGCGUGGGGGCGCCGGGCAGGGCCUGUGCUGGGGUGGGUGGCCAUGCCCCCGGGAGAGGCUGUGGGGUUUUGUGCCUGUGAGGGGCUGUCCUCCAGGACCUCCCCCCAGGGGGUCUAAGCCCAGCCUUCCUGCUCCCUCCUGCCUCUGCCCAGGCCUCAGCCUGCAGUGCUACAACUGUACUAAGAACAUGGAUAGAGCCAAAGGGUGCCAGCCCGCCCAGUGUGCCACAUCUGACAGCAUCUGCGUCAGGGUUAAGUUGACCAUGGCCUUUAGCAAUGGAACCAGAAACCACGAGCAGUACAAGGGCUGCGUACCCUCCUGUGCGGAGAUCAAACAAGAAAUGAGCCUGAUCUCCGGGCAUAUCAUUCCGGAGACCGAGAACGAGCCCGUCGCCAUGAUGUAUAUAGUGAAGGAGGUGACUUGCUGUGAAGAGGACCUGUGUAACGGGGGACCCCGGCCCAGGCGCAGCCCCUGGGCCCUGGCGGCGGGGCUCCUGCUCAGCCUCGGGCCCGCCUGCCUCUGGGCCCUGCUGUGAGCGCCCGGCUGGCCACGCAAACCAGGGAACCACGCGGGGUGCUUCAUGCCGCGGGUCCUGGAGCAAGCGCGCGGGUACACCUGCGCAUGCGUACAUAUGCACCCGCACGCACACUCACACACGCGCGCGCGCGUGCACAUUUGCACCAGUUCGCACGCGCACAGAUGCACGCACACAUUCACACGUGCACAGGCUCUCCUGCACCCCCCACCCCCACCAGCCUGCCCCGUUUUGCAAACACCAUCAGUUGACCACUGACCCAGGACGCAGGGGCCGCUAGUCCCGACAGCGCCGCCCGGGGUCCCUCCAACGGGGUGCCAACGACGGAGGGAGAAUAAACGCUUUCUACACCCCGGUGUUCUUCGCUUGCCAUUGGACCCGGCAGGGCAGGGCGGGGGCUGGUGUGGCCUGCCCGGGAGGGGGCUCAACUUCCGCGUGGUUCUCCCUGAGCCGGGCGAGCCCCUGUGGCCCGAGGGACUAUGACCGGGGUCAGCUCUGCGCGGCCGGGACCCUCCCCGGGGGCAUCCGCCCAGGGCGUCCGGUGGCCUAUUCAUGGGAGCGGGGUGAGCACCCUCCGCAGAGGCAGGGGCAGGUUGGGGAGGGGGGCCUGGGCCGGGUCCUCCCUCCUCACCCCAGCAGCCACACACCCUGAUGAGGGCGUGUAUGCGGGCAGGGCUGCUCUGCGGGCAGAGGAGUUAGAAGAACCAGGGCUGGUGGGCCCGUCUCCAGCCCGCUGAUGUCGCCACGCUGUCCCCGGGUGACCUGGGGCCCACUUCCCUGGCCUGCCCCGGGGACCUCUCUCUGGCGACCGGGGCCCUGGGCGCACGCUGGGUCCCCUGCCCCUGCGGCAGCCACGGCCAGAGCCGCU
rnacentral:lncRNA from 1 species